GCCACUGUUGGAAGCUCCUGCAGCCGGGGCACCCGCAACACAGGAGCCCUAGCAACGUUUCAGAACCGAAGGGGUCACACGGUGUUCCUGUGUCUGAAGUCCUUCCUGCUGCUAUACCUCCAAGCUACAACUAAGGAGUUAACAUAAUUUCACGGGCUCUCUAGCUUCCCAGAGCCACAAGACAGACCGGAUGAGAUAACUAGAUUGACAACGGGUACAAGAUGCCAACAAGGUAAUGGAAACCCAAGUUCCAGUUUGAAGCGGCCUACAUCACACAUUUCUCAAACACAAAGAAGAAAGGAAUUGGCCUAAUCAAGACCUUUCAAGGGGAAGAGAACCACAGAGCCAUGACCAUAAACAGCU
rnacentral:lncRNA from 1 species